UUGCAGGCAGAGCUGAAAUGGGGACUGUGUUACAGCAGUGUUCUUUGCCUUUAAUUUUAGGAGGUCCAGGCAGAUAGCAGCAGUCAAGGCCAAGUGUCCAAGGGAAUCGGCUCGGAGUACGCAUACCUCUGUCACCAACUGGCUGAUGGACCAGGUUUCAUGCACUUGUGAUCUCGCUGGAAGUAUUACAGGACCCUGUGACGGAGCCUUCCAAUUUUGCAUUUCAAGGUCUCAUCUGGGAAGUCCCGAGGAAUGGCCGAGGAAUUGCAGUGUACCCUGCAAUGAUGGCAUCAGAAUCCAAGCAGACCUGAAGCGUGCAGGUCAAGAACCCGGGCAUUCUGAGGAGAAUGACCAAGAGGUGACAGCUGGAACUUACCAGACAGGCAGACGGCGUCCUUCUGCAGCCAACAGGGAUUUACAUCUCCGGAAUGCAUGCAAGAUAAGUCGAGGGUUACGACCCACAGAGGGGAUGGAAGUGGGGUGGUGGGUUGGGACUUUCUAGAAGGGGUUUUUGUGUCUGUUUUAGAGAUGGGGAUGUCCAAGAAGCGUCUCCUAUAGUCCACCUAAAGGGAAAGUGUUUCUUUUGAUCUCAGUGCUGAGGUGCACAGGGCAGAGCAGUUCCGGUGUGUGUCCUGUCACUUGUCUAUGGUGCACUCUUGGUUGUUUGGGUCUCUUGGUCUUUGCAGACCUUCUUCUUGUGCAAACCUCUCUCUCCCUCUCCUGUCCCGUCGUUUGUCACGUCCUGUCCUGGAUCACGGGUGUCUGCACAUAUUUCUCCCAGAGCUGCUCUGCCCUGCUUCACAGCCUGCUGUAAUUGCACCAGUCCCAGAGAUUUGCAGUUUUGCGUGGGGCAUGUAGUUGCAUUCAAGAUAGUAUUCCUUAAUUCACACUAGAUGUUUUGACCUGUUAAGUUAUUAACAGGUUAAUAACAAACAGCUUUUUGAAUUUUCUCCCAACUUCCUUUCAGAUGCAGAUGGAUUAACUCUGUGGCAGUGUGCCCUGGUGCGGUCGGGGGUUUCCCUGAGAAGGUCAGUCAUUGUUUGUGUUUGUAGGGGAAGCCUACAUGAUGACUGUGUUACAGCGCUUGUCUUUGUGUUUAAUUUUAGGAAGUCCGGGCAGCUAGGAGCAGUCAAGGCCCAGUGUGCCAGGUGAGCAGUGGACAGAAGCUGUUGUUCUGGCUCUUGUCUCAAUUUCUGGUGCAAUUCU